rnacentral:lncRNA from 1 species
CGCGCUCUCCACGGCACCCGGCCCCGGGCGUACUUGACCCCGAGGAGACUGAAGUCCCACCUCGCCCGGGGCCAGGGGCCGUGGCGCUACGCUGAGCCCGCGACACCCGCCUCGGUGACCCGUCUCUGAGGGCUCCUGCGUCCAGGGGCUGCAAUGGCUGCGGCGGCGCUGAUGGACACGGCGCAGGGCUAUGUGACCUUUGAGGACGUGACCAUUUACUUCUCCCCAGAGGAGUGGGGACUCCUUGAUGAGGCUCAGAGACUCCUGUACUGUGAUGUGAUGCUGGAGAACUUUGCACUGAUCGCCUCCCUUGGACUUGCAUCUUUCAGGUCACACAUAGUUGCCCAGCUGGAGAUGGGGGCAGAGCCCUGGGUGCCUGACCGAGUGGAUAUGACUUCAGCCAUGGCAAGAGGGAUGUAUAGAGGGCUUGGCUCAGAUUUUUACUGUGGAACAGAGGGUGAGAAAUCACCUGCUGAGCUCAGUGUUUCUGUAGAAGUGUCACAGAACAUGAAAUCCAAGGCAGUUCCAUCCACCCCAAAGGGCUACCCCUGUAACCUGUGUGGCCUACACUUGAAAGACAUUCUAUAUCUGGCUGAACAUCAGGCAACACAUUCCAAGAAGAAACCACACAUGCGUGAGGCACAUAGGAAAGAGUUCAAAUUCAAUGCUGACUUUCACCAGCCACAGAUGCAGCAGAAUGUGGACAAGUCUGUUGGAAGGAAUGAAGGCAGGGCCUUGCUUGUGAAGAGCUUCAGAUAUGACACAUCAAAGAAAUCUUUCACAUUCAAGGAGGAUGGGAAGGCCUCUGUGGCCAGAUGUGGUUUUCGGCAACAUCAGGUCACUACCAGUGUGGGGGAGCCAGAGCAGAGCUCUGAAAAUGUGGUGGAUUUUCCUACUGUGCAACUCCAUAAGAAGUACAGUAAAUCUGAGAAUGCUCUCAGUGACAAACUUUCGCUUGUUCAGCAGAGAACCCACACUGGAGAAAGGUCUUAUGAGUGCAACAAAUGUGGGAUAUUCUUCAGCUAUGCUGCUGGCCUCUUUCAACACCAGAGAGAUCAUAAUCGAGGAAAGCCUUAUGAGUGUGAUGAAUGUGGGAAAUUCUUCAGCCAGCACUCCAGUCUCAUCAAACAUCAGAGAGUUCACACUGGUGAAAGUCCUCACGUGUGCAGCGAGUGUGGCAAAUUCUUUAGUCGAAGUUCUAAUCUUAUUCAACAUAAGAGGGUUCACACUGGAGAAAAGCCUUAUGAAUGCAGUGAGUGUGGGAAGUUCUUCAGGCAACGCUCGAACCUUAUUCAUCAUAAGAGGGUUCAUACUGGUAAAAGUGCUCAUGAGUGCAGUGAGUGUGGAAAAUCCUUCAACUGCAAUUCCAGCCUAAUUAAACACUGGAGAGUUCACACUGGAGAAAAACCUUACAAGUGCAAUGAAUGUGGGAAAUUCUUCAGCCGCUUUGAUGGACUUGUUCAACAUCAGAUAGUUCAUUCAGGUGAACGACCGUACAGAUGCAACGUAUGUGGGAAAGCCUUCCGCCGGAGCUCUGACCUCAUGAAUCAUCAGCGAGUCCACACUGGUGAAAGGCCUUAUGAGUGCGGUGAAUGUGGGAAAACCUUCAGACGAAGUUCUAAUCUGAGGCAGCACCGGAAAGUUCAUAAACCAGAUAAGCCAUAUAAAUGCAAUGAAUGUGGAAAAGCCUUCAGCCAAAGGUCUACUCUCAUCCAGCAUCAGAAAAUUCACGCUAGAGAAAAGAGUACAGAGGAUGUUCUCCCUCCUUCUUCAGCACAACAGCACCUCCUAGAGAUGAACUCUGAGAGUGGUCUAUAUGAAGGAGCUGUCAGCCAGAAGUUAAACCUUAUUCAUCCAAAUGUCUACACUGGAGAGAUUCCCAAUGGAUGCUAA